CUUAAUCUGCCAAGGCGCUUGAGAGAACUCGGGUUAAGGAACUCUGCAAAUUGAUACCGUAACUUCGGAAGAAGGUAUGCCUUCGACGGUGUAGGGAUUUACUCCCGAAGCUGUUGAAGGUCGCAGGUAAUCGGUGGCUGCGACUGUUUAUCAAAAACACAGGACUCUGCGAACACGCAAGUGGAAGUAUAGGGUCUGACGCCUGCCCGGUGCCGGAAGGUUAAUUGAUGGGGUUAGCCGCAAGGCGAAGCUCUUGAUCGAAGCCCCGGUAAACGGCGGCCGUAACCAUAACGGUCCUAAGGUAGCGAAAUUCCUUGUCGGGUAAGUUCCGACCUGCACGAAUGGCGUAACGCUGGCCACACUGUCUCGACCCGAGACUCAGUGAAGUUGAAAUCGCUGUGAAGAUGCGGCGUUCCCGCGGCAAGACGGAAAGACCCCGUGAACCUUCACUACAGCUUUACAUUGAACUUUGAAUCUUCCUGUGUAGCAUAGGUGGGAGGCUUUGAAGCCUGGGCGCUAGUCCAGGUGGAGCCAACGUUGAAAUACCACCUUGGGAUAUUCGGAGUUCUAACCUUGGUCCGUAAUCCGGAUUGGGGACAAUGUAUGGUGGGUAGUUUGACUGGGGCGGUCUCCUCCCAAAGAGUAACGGAGGAGUGCAAUGGUACGCUCAGCGCGGUCGGUCAUCGCGCUCUAGAGUGCAAAGGCAUAAGCGUGCUUAACUGUGAGACAGACACGUCGAACAGGUACGAAAGUAGGUCUUAGUGAUCCGGUGGUUCUGUAUGGAAGGGCCAUCGCUCAACGGAUAAAAGGUACUCCGGGGAUAACAGGCUUAUUCCUCCCAAGAGUCCACAUCGACGGAGGAGUUUGGCACCUCGAUGUCGGCUCAUCACAUCCUGGGGCUGUAGCAGGUCCCAAGGGUAUGGCUGUUCGCCAUUUAAAGUGGUACGCGAGCUGGGUUCAGAACGUCGUGAGACAGUUCGGUCCCUAUCUGCCGUGGGCGUUGGAAACUUGAGGGUGAGCUGUCCUUAGUACGAGAGGACCGGGAUGGACGUAUCUCUGGUGUUCCGGUUGUCACGCCAGUGGCACUGCCGGGUAGCUAUAUACGGACGGGAUAAGCGCUGAAAGCAUCUAAGCGCGAAGCCCCCCCCAAGAUUAGGUUUCCCUGGGAACUCGAUUCCCCUAAAGGGCCGUCGGAGACUACGACGUUGAUAGGCUGGGUGUGUAAGUGCAGCAAUGCAUUGAGCUAACCAGUACUAAUUGCCCGUGAGGCUUGACCU
rnacentral:rRNA from 1 species